CCUACGGGUGGCAGCAGUGAGGAAUAUUGGUCAAUGGCCGGAAGGCUGAACCAGCCAAGCCGCGUGAAGGACGAAGGUGCCAAGCAUUGUAAACUCCUUUUAUCAGGGACGAUAAUGACGGUACCUGAAGAAAAAGCUCCGGCUAACUACGUGCCAGCAGCCGCGGUAAUACGUAGGGAGCGAGCGUUGUCCGGAAUUACUGGGUGUAAAGGGAGUGUAGGCGGGACGGUAAGUCAGAUGUGAAAACUGAGGGCUUAACUUUCAGACUGCAUUUGAAACUGCUGUUCUUGAGUGAAGUAGAGGUAAGCGGAAUUCGUGGUGUAGCGGUGAAAUGCGUAGAUAUUAGGAAGAACAUCGGUGGCGAAGGCGGCUUACUGGGCUUUUACUGACGCUGAGGCUCGAAAGCGUGGGGAGCAAACAGGAUUAGAUACCCUGGUAGUC
rnacentral:rRNA from 1 species